GAUGAACGCUGGCGGCGUGCCUAAUACAUGCAAGUCGAGCGAACAGACGAGGAGCUUGCUCCUCUGAUGUUAGCGGCGGACGGGUGAGUAACACGUGGAUAACCUACCUAUAAGACUGGGAUAACUUCGGGAAACCGGAGCUAAUACCGGAUAACAUGUUGAACCGCAUGGUUCAACAGUGAAAGACGGUCUUGCUGUCACUUAUAGAUGGAUCCGCGCCGCAUUAGCUAGUUGGUAAGGUAACGGCUUACCAAGGCAACGAUGCGUAGCCGACCUGAGAGGGUGAUCGGCUACACUGGAACUGAGACACGGUCCAGACUCCUACGGGAGGCAGCAGUAGGGAAUCUUCCGCAAUGGGCGAAAGCCUGACGGAGCAACGCCGCGUGAGUGAAGAAGGUCUUCGGAUCGUAAAACUCUGUUAUUAGGGAAGAACAAAUGUGUAAGUAACUAUGCACGUCUUGACGGUACCUAAUCAGAAAGCCACGGCUAACUACGUG
rnacentral:rRNA from 1 species